rnacentral:rRNA from 1 species
UGGGGAAUUUUGGACAAUGGGGGAAACCCUGGUCCAGCCAUCCCGCGUGUGCGAUGAAGGCCUUCGGGUUGUAAAGCACUUUUGGCAGGAAAGAAACGUCAUGGGUUAAUACCCCGUGAAACUGACGGUACCUGCAGAAUAAGCACCGGCUAACUACGUGCCAGCAGCCGCGGUAAUACGUAGGGUGCAAGCGUUAAUCGGAAUUACUGGGCGUAAAGCGUGCGCAGGCGGUUCGGAAAGAAAGAUGUGAAAUCCCAGAGCUCAACUUUGGAACUGCAUUUUUAACUACCGGACUAGAGUGUGUCAGAGGGAGGUGGAAUUCCGCGUGUAGCAGUGAAAUGCGUAGAUAUGCGGAGGAACACCGAUGGCGAAGGCAGCCUCCUGGGAUAACACUGACGCUCAUGCACGAAAGCGUGGGGAGCAAACAGG